rnacentral:misc_RNA from 1 species
GAUGAAGAACGUAGCGAAAUGCGAUAAGUAAUGUGAAUUGCAGAAUUCAGUGAAUCAUCGAAUCUUUGAACGCACAUUGCGCCCGCCAGUAUUCUGGCGGGCAUGCCUGUUCGAGCGUCAUUUCAACCAUCAAGCCCCCCGGCUUGUGUUGGGGACCUGCGGCUGCCGCAGGCCCUGAAAAGCAGUGGCGGGCUCGCUGUCACACCGAGCGUAGUAGAUCUCAUCUCGCUCAGGGCGUGCUGCGGGUUCCGGCCGUUAAACCACAUUCAUAACCCAAGGUUGACCUCGGAUCAGGUAGGAAGACCCGCUGAACUUAAGCAUAUCAAUAAGCGGAGGA